GGGAGGUGGAGAAAGGUUGGAGGGGAACCACUGGCAAAGAAGUCGUUUCAUACUGAGCUGUUUGUGCUCACUGGGAGUCACUGCACCUGUGUAUUUCAGAACUGGUCACUCACAGUCCAACUGGUUGUUUAUCAACGCUGUCAUGUCUGCAGCUCGUGCAGCAAACAGCAGGAGGGAGGCAGAGUUGGACCUGCCAGACUCUCAAUAACAAAAACUCAGAGCAAAGGAUUUGUGUUUGGUGAGUUUCUGCCUCCAUCUUGAGACAAAAGAAAUCUGAGGAACAAACUUGCCUGGCUGGAAUGAAAGGCUGACAGCAAGCAGACUUGUGUGGACAAGGGUGAGUAACUCACAACCAGCUGAAAUUAGUUUGUUUGGUCUAAAAGUUUUUAGCUCUUUGAUCUGUCUGUAAGUCACUCCAGUAAACUCUGCUAGACUGUAACAUUCAUGCAGUUUAUCUUGACUUGAGGUUUUAUUAGUCUGGUUAUAUAUGUGUGUGUGUGUGUGUGUGUGUGUGUGUGUGUGUGUGUGUGUAUGUAUGUGUGUCUGCACAGGCGCGUGUUGGGGCUCAUGUUUUGUUUGCUGAAAUUUAUGAUGUGUUGGCUGGUUUGUGGUUCAUCUUUGGGUUAGACUCAGCUGCUCUGCUCCUCUCAGGGCUUGUCUUGUUUUCUCUUGUUCAUUUGUUCAGACAUCUCACAUGUCCAGAAAUAAACACACGCGCACACUUCCACACACAGGAAGCGACAGGACAGUGUGAUGUCUUCACUCCACAGCCGACAGGAUUUGCUCCUGCUGGUUCAAAUAACAGCAGUCCACUUGUAAACCAAUCUUCUGUUGUACCCUCGCUCAGUUUUUAACAAAAAAAUGGUUCAAUAAGUCUGGGAUUUUCUGGUGGAUUAUCUCUGACUUCAAAUUAAAACAAAAACAACAAAAAAAUUGUUGCUGUUUGUUUUUGAACAUUGCAGUGUUAUUCAGUUUUUUUCAAUUAAUUCAAGUCAGGGUACAACCAUCAACAGAGGUGAAAAUGGCACCAUAAAUGCUAGUAUUCUUGCACUGUACGUGAAAAAAAGAAGCAGAAGUUGUGUUUAUGGUAAAGUUUAUUGUUAAAACUGCAUCUAAAGUCAAGGUGUAUUUUUUAAAAGCUUAAACUAUUCUGAAAGAAGAGGGUAAAGCCUCUCUGACAGUUACUUAGGGCUAAACAAGCAUGCUGAGUUUUGCUGUAUAAAAAAAUCAUCAGACAUCAUCCCAGCGGUAUUUCCAAUCCUUAAAGUCACAGAUCACAAAAAAGUCAUUUUUAGACAUCAUAGUUUUGGGGCUUCCUUGAGAGCCACAAAUUGUUUUUGUGUUUAAAUUGAAACUAAACUGACAUAAGAAGUUUGUGUAGGAAAAAGAUAUCGAUUUGUGAAUAUAGACCUUACUGUUUGUCCACUGUGAUUGGUCCAUUCUUUAAAGCCACUUUUACAAGUGGUAGCUCAUUCUAAGAUCAUGGUUUCUGCUGGUAUCUUGGUCCAGGUGUUGAACAGAUAUACAAGUUUUCAUAUUUGGAAUGUAAUAUGGUGAAAUCAGUCCAUGUUCUUGCAGUAAAUAUUCCCUGGUCCUUAAGUGUCUUGAUGUAAUACAAUUUUUUAACCACUUCGAAAUAGAUAAAUGAGAAGUGAUAUCCACAAAAAGACCCUGCAGUCAGUCCAUCCCUCUUAACCCCUCUUCUUAUAAAGGGCUUGGGUUAUGGUGUCUGCAUGCAAAGAGAGGUUUUCCAGACAUCCCUCCUCCAUGGAAGUUUCUACAGCUCCUAAACUCUAAGAUUUUCUUAGGCCAGAUGAGAUAUAAUCCCACCAGAAUUUCCUGGUGUCCCUGCCCCCAAGUAGGCUUGUCCAGAGACACUUCAAAGGCAGGUGUGCAGGAUGCACCCCGUUUAGUGUUGCCGAAAUCACCUCAGGUGGCUACUUCCUUCCUGUGGUACAGGUGCAGUGGCUGUAUUCAAAUCUCCCUCCUGAUGAUAGAGCUCCUCACUCUGUCCAAGGAUAAGAUAAGCACUUAAUUAGAGGAAACUCUUUUUAGCUGUUUGCAUCUCAGUCUUUGUGGUUCGUAGGGCUGGGCAAUUAAUCAGAAAUGAAUCCUAACCAAAGUUCAGAACUGCUAACUGAGGUAAUCUUGUCUAUAUUGGUUGUUGAUUUUAUGAAUUUCUGUUAAAAGUAUAAUGAGGGUCAUGAGCUGUGAAGGAUAAAAGUAGGUAAUCUAGAGGCUAAAAUGUGAAAUGAUAAUAGUUUGUGUGUUGAAGUUGCCAUCAGCCAGUUUUUCUGUAUUAGAUACACAGUGUGAGCCAUGAGAGCUGUUUGUGUUUAUUUACAGGUAUGCAUUUUAAAUUGUGAAACAACAUUAGCCUCGCAUGCAUUUUUUAAAAUUCAGUUUGCCACUUGUAACUUUUGUUCUGUAACUUCAUGUUAAAUUCAGCUAUCAGUGUGAAGUUGGAAGCAUCUUUCACUGCAAAUUAGCUGGCUGAGGUGCCCAGCUUGGGGGUUUUCGUAGUACAUGAGGUCUCCUCAAGCUUGUUUUGGGGAUACUCAAAAGCCACCAGACACAGAGAUUGAAAACGUUUUACCAGGACAUUACCCCAUCUUUGGACACAAUGUCUAAAGACCAGUAAAGAGUCAAUGUGAAAGGAGAUUUCUGAGACUGGCAAAGCUAACGCAUAUCUGCCACCAACACUGUGCCUCCUCAGCUCGUGUUUUCUGCCACCAGAAUCAGUUUGACCCCUAUGAGCUCCUGACUGACACCGUCCAUGUGUCCAUGCUCAACUUAUCAAUAAGAACAAGUAUGCAGAAAACUGAACACUGGGAGUCAGUGAUGCUUCUCUGUCCAGUUUCUUUGCUGGAGCAUUUUUAGGUUUUGUUGUUUGAGACUUACUCUGUAUGAUGGUAUGUUGUACUGAUUAUUAUAAAUAUAUAUGAUUUGGGGAAAUUUGUUAUUCCUUUUUUCAUAGGAAAAUUUUAAAUUUGUCAUUGAUUAAUUGAUCACUGAUCAUUAAGGUUUCUGAAGAUAGAUGGGUAAUAAAACGGCAUCCCUAUUCUGAGGAUUUAUCCUAAGAACAGAGCAGUUUUUAAACAUACUAUGAUUAGUACAAACUGAAUAAUCAGAACAUUGUUGCUGUUGUCUUUGCAUGGUAAUACUUUGUAAUGAUGAGAUCAGAAGUCGCCCUAGGCUCCUCUCCCAUGCAGGUGUAAGUGAGAGUUGCCGUGGUUACAUCCAUGGUCUGUGUCUGGAGCUGAAAGGGAUCCUCUCUUUAUUGCAUGGACUGUGCUCUCUGAUAUUAUGUGUCAUAGAAAUGAAUCACAGUCUGAAUGAUGAUCAUAGGGUUACACUCUAACCUUGGUUCUGUGAGUGAAGAGACAAUCUUUCAAGCUUGCACAUGUGAUGGAGAGGAAGUUGAUAGAGAACAAGUUUUGGGGAUUUUGUUUGACCUGUGUUGUAAAUGCACAAAAUGAACAUUUGAGUCAUGUAGUUCAAGGCUGUGUAUUCACAGCCUUCAACUAUAGAAAUCAUGAAUUGUGAGCUAUAGCUGACCAGGAAAAACAGAUAUGCUCAUUUCGUACAUGGUUUUACAUUACCUGAAAAAAUCUGAAUGUGUGUUAUUGUGUGUUUCAGUUGUGGGGGGCAAUCUUUUUUGUGGUACCAAUCACAUCCUUGAUAAAGAGUUGAUCUGUACGUUCCCUUCUUUGUUCUUUAAAAAAGAAAAGCACACAAAUAAGAUGUAUGCUAUUUUAUCAGAAACAAUUAUCCCAGCUUUAAUUGUUGAUUUGGAACAAACCUUGUAAAGGAACUAUGAGGGCAAAAAAGUCAAAAACAAAAAAAUAAAUUCAUUGAUCAUAUUUGAGGUAAAAUGUUCAAUUAAUCAUGAUAUUGAUUUCAGGCCAGUUUAGGUUUUCAGCCCAAAGCUUCAGACCAAAGGUGAGGGUUGUAACUUAGAUUUUCUGAUACCACAAGAAGCCUUCCUUCCAGGUGAGCUCACUCAGACAGAACAAGAAAGACUUUAACUUUGUAAUAUGAUAUUUGAAAUGUUAUUCAAUGAAGCAUAGGUAUCAUUCUCUCUUAAUUAUAGUCUCUUCUUCACUAACAACCCAGGAUGAACAGAGCCAGAUGAGUUCAAAGGAUAAUUAAUAGUCUUUGAGCUUCAUGAAUAUGUUUUGCCGUCACUGAACUGAAGAGCUCAAAACAACCAUUGAUAAAGAAAUGUACGGUCAGCUUAUACAGCCUAAUGAAGUGAUAUUAGCGCCAUUUUGAGCACUGUGUCUUGCUGAGUUAAUUUAUCCAGUGUCUUUUAACAUAAUGUGUUAAAGUGCAACGUCUAAAUUCCGUCUAAAAAUAUACAGAAUCUAGACGGUUGAAAUUAGGUCUAAAAAAUAACUAGACGUCUAUUGUUCAGUGGGCAUCGCUUUAUAGCGCCCUUUAGGAAAACAAAUCAUUACUCUAAAUCUUUCAUUGCUUCUGCCAUCAGGCCUAGAACCUUGACAGUCAUCACUCGAAGUGGCCACAUAGGUGCAAAGUGCGAGAGCACUUAUUAUCUAUCGUCUCUGACAUGUACCUGUCUGACUUUGUUUGUAAAUGUUCUGUAUGCAGAGUCUGAGUUGACUGCUGAAACCUAAAUUGCCCCUUUGGGAUUGAUAAAGUUGUCAAAACUGAACUGAGCAACAAUAUAACAAGGGUGUUUCAUAGUGUUGCAACAAUGUGAAAGAACACGUCAUUAUGUUUAAAGAUACAGUGUAAGCUUUGAAUGCUCACACACUGUGAUACACAUGCUUUGGGGGAACAUUAAAAUAGGUCUCUGCUAUGGUUAGUGCUCCUGGAAAUAAUGACCAAUAUCAUUAUUACACCCACAUAAGCAUCUGGCUUCCAAUAACUGGGCUGCCAAACCUGAGAAUGUUAAAAAUGUGUGACUUUUGUUUCAGAAGACAAGGCGGGGUCAGAAGAUGGAGGUACUUGACAGUAUUACUGAAUGUGUAGACUUAUUUAAAACAAAAUGUGUUGGUACAGAAGUAGCUGGAAAAAAUAUUGACAAAAAAAAGUGAUGGGGGUUGUUUUGAAGAGAAGCAUGUUUCAGGCUGUGCAUGCUUCACAUUCUUAGCUGCUGACCUCCAUGGAAAAUAACAACAGCCGGGCUUGAAGGUCAUCUUGCAGUGACCAGUGGCUGAGGCUGAGCAGUCAGUGGUACCAAACUAGAUGUUUGUAAGCCCAGUGAUCUUCUGCCCUGCUACGUAUAUGUUGAGGGUGGGGGGGUGACGUGAUGAUCAUGAAACAGCGUGAGCGUAUGGUCAUUCGAUGGUAGUAAUCCUCAUGUUCCAAUAAUCAAAGUACUUAUGAACCAUUUAUUCAGUACACGCAAAUUAUACGUAUUUUAUCAGUCGGCUGAUCAUCAGUAUUGCUUGUCGAAAGGACAGCAGCUUUCUAUUCCCUGUUAUGAAUGUAAUGACAAGUAAUCAUGGUAAUGUACGACUCCGUGGAUAGACCUGUCCAUGAGUCUGUGGUGACAACCACUUUGUCAACACUCUAAGGCAGUCCCCGAUCCGGCUGCACUUUCAGUUUUUUCCCCCUUUUCUCGUAGUUGUCUGCAGAGAUAGUGGCUUGAACUCCGGCUCAACAAAUGCCAACAACUUACAGAAGCCUUCCCCUCUCACAAAACUCAGUCAGGUUAUCAUCACACCGGCGUCCAGUAACAGCACUAGCAAAUGCUGUGAUGCGAGACUUAGAGUGCAUGUGGUUAAGGAUCCAGCUAGUAUUUCUAUGGUUUCUUUUUUUGUCAAAAUACUUUUGGAUGUCAGUUUUCACACAAUGCAUGCACAAGUAGUGUAACGAUACUCGAAUAACGACGGUAACCAUAAGUUCUUGAGUAAUCGAGUAUUCGUCUCCAUCCUUAUAAUACACACACCAGUGCUGGUGCUCGUUUUAUGUACAGAUUCAGCUGUGCUGGAGGCCUGUCACCACACACACACACACACACACACACACACACACACACACACACACACACACACACACACACACACACACACACACACACACACACACACCAUCAGGGUUAAUGAAUAUCAUUGCAAACAGUGCAUAUUGAGUGCCUUUGAACCAGUGAAUUCAUGUAUGGAUUAGUUUUGUGCUUUGUGUUAAGACAGGGGGGUAAAGAUAACUGGUCUGAACCUGCUCUUUUCUCUGAGGUCGGACAGCCCCUCAUAAAAAAAACGACUCUAAUAAACUAACUCCUGGUGUGCCUGCCAGACCACACGCUUGCUGUCGGCUGUAAAAUAUGACCAGGCUGCUUCCCCUUUUUCUCUUCUCACUCUUUGCCCUUUUGACCCCUUCUCAUCUCCUCUUUUUUCUCGCUCUACCUCUUUCCCCGUGUCUUUUCCUUUUCUGUCUGUUCCUGUUUGCACUUCCCCUGCUUUUGUCAGCCACUGCUUUUCCGUAUUUGUCUAGUUAAAGAAGUAUGGAUUAUUUGAUGUGACAAGAAUAAUGUAAGAGUUAAAUAGAUACCAGACUUUUGUUUGUUUUGGUACCUAUUCAACAAUUCACCUGUUUGAUGAUGCCUAAAGUGAAACUUGUCUUUGCUGUCCAUACAAAGAGAAAGCAGAGAUUGUACUAAACUUUUAUGAUUUCCUGAGCCUUUGCAAAGCUAAAUCCAGUAAUUUGAAGCAGCAAGUGAGUUACACGGUUCCAGCAAAGCAUAUGAAUUAUAAAAUUCAUACACAUGUUUAAAUCAAUGUGUAAUCACUAAGUUGUCAAAGUAGUUUUGUUUUUGUUAACUUAUAAUGAGCCUUUUGUAUCGAUACAGGAGCACGUUUCUGUCCAUGGAGACAACCCUCCUGUUCUGACAUGUUUCUACAGCAGGGCAAAACAAACUGGAAACAAAUACUUUUUGUAUUAAGUGAGUGGAAAUUAACCAGUUGAAAGACAGAAGAAGUUGUUUGUAUUGUGAGUUGUAUUGGAAGUUGUUUCUGAUGGUAAAAACUUGACAAAUGAAGGAGCAAACUUGUCAUGCAUCAUGGGAGUUCCUUGUCCUUGAGGGCCAAUGUCGUUUCACCUACAGAAGGGGUGAACAGGUGAGCAUUUAUAUCUCUGACCAAUAGAUAUUGCUAGAUAUUCCCUUUUCUACAGAUAUUACUUUUAAUUUGAAAAACCUACCACCUUUUCAAAAAACAAAAACUUGUAUCCAUGCUUUGAAAGCUCAGCUCCCCCUAAGCCUAACUCGUGAAAUUUUUUGUUUGGAAAAAUGUAAAUAUGUUCCAUUUAGUGAUUUUUCCAGAAUGCGAAAAAAACAACCAAAAAAACCAACAUAUUUUUAGGGAUAAAACCCAGCAUGUGAUGUUGCAUGAAGCAGACAUAAGUUGUCUUGACAAACAGGCCUGUGUGUUUCUGUUUGCUGAACAGAUAUAUAUAAUCGCUGGAGUCGAGGAUGGCUUCGUACCAGCUGGAUCUUUUUCCUCUCUGAAGGGCCUCACUCUGUCAGUCUCAGUAACCUGGGGGUUGUUUCUUAGAAAUCUGGCUUUUGACCAGAGGACUGGACCAAAAAAAAACAAAAAAAAAACAACAUACUGAGAGGGAUUAGGAGUGUGGAAGAGCUUCUAAAAUUACAGCCCUCAGAACAUAUCCAGAUGUUGCUGUCCUGAUUCUCCCCAGGUAACACACAUGACAGAGUCGCAGUGUGGAGGGGCCAAAAGUGGAGAGAGUGGCUCUUGUAGAGCAACCCCGAUCCCCAAUUUUAUUAGUUUUUUUUUGGUCCUCCUGGACUCCAGCUGGUGAUAUCAACCUGCCACAGAGACAGAGGCUCUAACAGUGUGAGUUAGUGUGAAGCAGUUGGGCUCUGUGUCUGCUGCUGAUCACAUACUGAACCAGUGAGAAAUGCACAGCAGUAUGAGCUACUGUGCAAAGGGCUUGUUAACUGUUACACACCCAUCUGACAUCUUCACGAUGUUUGAUCUUUGAAGUCAUGAGUUCAUGCUUUCAGAGAGACAAAUGUACAUUUUCUUACAAAGCCAAGAGGCUUUAACCUUUGCUUUAGAUCUGAUGUGUUUGAAAAACGUGGAACUGAAGUACUCUGGGGGAAGCAACAUCAGUUAUCUUAAUCUUUAGAAAAAAUGGAUCGUCAAAAGAGGGUACAAAUUUUACAGUUCAGUCCAGUUCACAGGUCAAGAGUCAGUUAAGUUCAUGGAGCUUAGCCGGGAUUUAAACUGUUAUUUGUAAAGACCAUUUCUGUAUUGCUUUUGCUUUUCGGAUAAGCGGAAAGAAAUUGUAUUCUGAUCGAGAGGGGUGGUUCAUGCGAUCAUUAUUCUGAAAUCUGUCCAUGUAUACACUCAUUCCGAUCGUGACUCUCUGUUGGGGCAAAACUAAUCUGACUGCACUUGUGUUCCCAAAGUCAGCGUGACACAGUCCACUGUUAGUGACAAGACGUAAACAUUGCGGGAUCCAAGAGUGAUUGGUCUGUGUCUGACACAACUUUCUUGCUAGAUACAGUCUCCUCAUGUAACGCAGGAUCAGUAUGUGCUGCUGGACCCGCUUGAUGAUCAUGUAUGCUAGGAGCAAUAUAACUACUCAGAACCUGGCUCGGGUCCAUUCUGAGCAGAGGGAAAAAUCCUGAAUUAGAUGGAGUGGGACAACAUCGCGUUUGUUGGUUUGUUGACAGCACAGGUGUAAAUACAACUCUUCUGCAGUUGUUUUAGCGAAAUUAGACAAUUACACAUGUCCAAAUGCUUCUAAUCUGAAUAAAGCUUGGUGCAUGUAUUUUGCGCCUAUAUAAACAGUGGAUUCAGGUUUUCUGAUCCCCCAGAUUUUUAAUUUAAUCAAGAAAUUUUGCACAUCUAAACGUGGCUUCUGAGUGUGCCGGUGUUUCAGUUAUGGGCACUGCAGAUGAUGUGAAAUGUUCCUGUACUUGUUUUACUACUCUGCUCAUGUUUUGGGAUUUUUACCAAGCAUAAUUACUGUUCCUGCUCUCACUGUGACUGUUGCGCAUCCAUGAGUGGAGUCAUGCAUUGUCUCUGACCAGUUGUCCUUAUGUCUCUUUUCUUGGUUACAUGGUGAAUUUGAAAAACUUUGAUAUGCACAUUGUGCAAGCAUCAUCAGGUUGCUGCCUCUGAUGUUUCUCUGUGCCUGUAGUGACCCCUGUAUUCUUUUAUUUUACAAUUCCUUUGCAUCUGUCUCUUCUCACAGCAUGGACAGGCAGGGCCAAGACAGACAGGCAUCUAUCUCAUGCACGUAUCAGUUUCAAGCAGAGGCGAAACAUGAAAAGCCAGUGAUGAUUAAUUUUUCAUUCAUCUGUGGAUCACGCAUAGGCUGUGAUCAGCUGGGUGGCCUGAAACAGAUCGACUGAUUCGUCACUCCACAAAUUGCAAGAGAAUGGGUGCAUCUAAAUUUUGAGAUAUGACAAAAUAAAUCAGUGUUCAAACAGAGUGUCAAACAGUUGAUAUACAGUGAUACUACUGCCUAGCAUCUGUGACUGGCAGCAGGGGACAGAGAGUGAUAUAAAUGAUGUUUCUCCCACACAGAUUAUGUCAAAAAAAAAAUAAAACAAACAAACAUAAACAAUAAAACCUUCUCAGUCCCCCCUUCCGUCUUCUGGGUCCUAGUUUAGUUAAUUCUCCAGUCAGAGUACAAGUCCCAGUCAUCACUGGUCAUGUCCAAGUCAAGUCAUGAGUACUGGACUUGAGCACUACAACACUCUGCAAAUGAACUCAAAAGGCCAUAAAUAGGCAAGGGCAGGCCUAUUAGUCUGUCUGAGGGUUAAUGCUGUGAAAUCACAAUGACACUUGUCGAGACUUUCUGCAAAUUUCUUGAAAUUUGGCGGUCAAAGGUCAAGGCUUCUGUAACCUGUCAGCAAAUAAAUACUCUUUGUCACCUCCCCACAAAUAUCUUAGAGUUGUUGGAUGAUAUGAAGGAUGGUAAUUCUUAUUUUGUUUUUACAAGGUCUGCUUCUCUUGAAAAAGGUUACAGAUGAAUUUUGGAAAUAAGUUUUAGAAACCACUCACAUGGAAAGUACUUAAGUGGUUGCAGUUAAUUUUCACCUCAGCCACAACUUUUUUUCUUGUUUUUAAGAACCUUUUCUCAACUGGUCUGGGGAAUGAGGUUAAAAAGUGAGUACACUCUGACCCAUAUUUUGAUCCCUGGCUUGUUGAAGUAGUGUGCAUUCAUUUAGAACUGUACAUCCAAACAAAAACACCUUACUGCCGCUCCAGUCCUGGUUUAUAACACCAAUAGCCAAGAGGAUAAUCAAUUUCAUCAGCUGAGAUUUGGCUUUGAAAGGAUUUACAUCUAUGAAAGUCAUGAGGAAAAACCAAAUACUGAUAUUUGCCUUUAAUGUGGAAGGUUUGUCUCAAGAGCAUGAGAUACAGAGGCAACAUCGGCGUCAUAGCAGUUCUUCCCAUUACUUUCCACACUGUUCUCAUGGUAAGCCUCUGCAUUGUGUCUAAUCCAUGAGUGGAAAUGCAGACCCUUUAAGCAAGUGGAAAGAAUGAUGCUCCAGUGUAUUGGAUGGACCUUGUGUGCAAUUUUUGAUGUGGCCAACAGUCAGAUGGGGACAAAGUUUCUACCACAAACGCUGAUAGGUCUUGCCUAGUUGCUCUUAUAUCCUCUAUUCAUAUUGAGAAGACAUGAUAUAUGGAUGUGAUAUGGAAAUACAUGGUGGUUACCAGAAAAAUGCAGUGUAUUUUACGUACUUAUAUGAUUAAGAUUUUGAUAUUCCCCUAUAAUAGUGAUAAUAACCUUUUUCUUUUUCCUUGUGCAAAAAGGAAUCACUCUGGGGUCCUGUUGUAGCCUGCAGGAUGAACAGGAAUAUGCUGUUAUAAUACAUGUCUCACAAGAAGUCAGCUCUGUGUGUUUUUACAGGAGGGGCUGCAUAAAAGUGAUAGUAGAUUGGUAGUGGACAUAAGAGAGAUUUACCUCCCCAUCACCCACGCAGACACAGAUAUGUAUGUGAAAAGUAGUGUAAUGAAGUAGUUUGUGAGUGACAACAACCAGACUGCAUCCUGGUCAGAGCAGAAUUACAGAAAUCUUAGAUCUCUACAUUUCUCAUCAGUUUAGAUGUUGGCAGCGAACAGUGCUGCUGAAUUUUAUUUCCAUUCGAACAGGCCUACCUGCUUAAAAGUGUACUUCAACUGAUGAUUUUGUUUUCUUCAGUCCAAACUGAUAAAGAGAAGUGGGCCGUUGAUGUUACUUCUCAAAGUACCAUCUGUUAUUCCCAACAAUCACCACUGAAUUAUGAGCUGCUCUAGCUAUGCUAAACUUUCUCAUUUCUAACAAACUCUUCACAGCAAAAGUCUUUUAGUUUUAUUGAAGUUUUUUUUAUUCUAAAACAGCCAUCUUAUAUAUUUCAGCAGUAACUCAAAACAACACAUUGUAUACAAAGGAGUAGGAGAGAAAUUAAUUUUACAUCACCGAGACUCGGUAAGAAACUACAAUGUCAAAAAUCAGACUCCCUGACUUGUUUUAGGAGGAGAGGGGUUUUAUUGAGUCAACAUAUGUUCACAUUAGUGAUUCCUAUACAUACUUCUGUACAUUUUCUUAAACCACAAUAAAAUUCCAUCAUCACAAAACCACUGCGCAUAUACACAUCAGGGUUUGGACUAGGGCUGGGCGAUAUGGCUGAUAACGAUAAAUGGACGAUAACUUUUCCACAAGCUGCUCACCUCCUCCCACAUUAACUUUGUCUACUUCAGCCGCUACAACUUUUGAACCGUCCUCCAUCUCCUCACCCGUCUUUCCUUCUAUGUUAUGGACUGGAUGGGGUGGAGUCACGUCUCUGACGUAGGACAGCGUCUUAAAGGGACAUGAGACCAUAGCCUACCUACACACAUCUAAAACCAAAUUUUCUUUAAUUUUUUGACACCGAAUAUACCGAUAUGGGCACAAUGAUGUCAGUUAUCGUCGUAAAUUUCGGUAUGGCUAAAUUUUCGAUUUAUCGCCCAUCCCUAGUUGGGAUGGUCAAAUAUAAAACAGCCCUUUUUUGUAACUAGCAGUAAUAAUUUUAUGAGCCCUUUAUCUGAAAUUGGACAAAUGUAUGACGCAUGUAUGUAAAUGUAUGAGAUGUAUGACAUUUAACAAAGAUUGUCUGCUGGAAAACAAAUUAAAAAAAUCAUAGUUUUACAGAAUACUGUCCUGCCAUCAGGAUAACCAGAGUUUUAUAAUUAGCUAUGGUUUCAUACAUGCAUAAUAAUGCUACAUCAGUCUUGCUUGAAAUCAAAAUCAACUUCAGAGUCACACAUUUGAUUGGAUUAUCGUUGCUAACCUUACUAAACCAGUGACAGAUACAGGUACAGACACUAGUCCAAAGAAAGUUCUGACCUCUGAUUAAGUCAUCUCAUCGUCACACCCACAGGCGUUUCCUGUGUGUCUGAGAGUUUGAUGCGUCAAGGUUGACAGUUGCCACAAGACAUUUAGCAGAGUGGCCAGCACCCAGCUCGUAAUAUUUUUCACAGACGUCUGGAUGUCACUGAGGGGCUUUUAAUGCAAUAAGCACAGGUUUCAUGCAGUGGCUCUUAUUUUAUUUGAUUAAAAUGAAGAAAAACAGACCUAUCAUCACAUCUGAAAGGAACAUUUUUUAUGUACUUGCCUGUCAUUAUAUCUGGGAUCAUAUAAAGUUGAAGUCGAGUAGAGUGGAUCAGUCUAGGCCUGGUGGAGCAUCGUUCCACAGCCCUCUGGUGGUGUGUGCUUUUCAUCUUCUUGACUCCCUGGUCAGUUGUCUGCUCUUUGGAAAGAACACAUUCCAGGGCCAUUAGGGCAGGGAUCGCUUUCAGCUGUAGGUGUAGUCUAUACACCCACUGUUCUUCAAAGGGAGGUCAAACCUUGACUGCCUUCUCCACUAGUUUCCACUGGUUUGCUGUCAGUGAAGUUGGGAGUUCUCCAUAGAAUAUUUUGUUUCCAGAUGAACUGAUUGUGUUAAAUGCAGCUCCACUGCUACCACAGAACAGUUAUAUCGCAUGUAUUGUUUGGUCGGACAGUUUUUUCUUUCUAGUUUUGAAUUUUUCCACACUGCUGACAUUUUAGCCCCAUGAGAGCUAAUGCUGAGUUACUCUUGCAUUUUGCUACAUUUGCUGAUCCCUGAUCAGUUUGAAAAACACCCUAAUCAACUCCGAUUGUACAGUUAAAGUCAGGAUUAUCCUUAUAUAUGCAGUAUAUAUAUAAUUUUUUAAAUCUAACCUUUAUUUAACCAGGUAAGAAACCCAUUGAGAUCGAGAUCUCUUUUACAAGGGUGACUUGGCCAAGAGGUCAGCAGAACACGUUACAAUGAUAAUAUUACAAUUCAGAGACAGAGAAUAUGCAGGUGUAGUUUGAUGAGGGGAGGUGGUUAUUCGGCUUGUUUACUAGGACCUAAGCCUCACACAUAGUGGUCUUGUGUGCUUGUGUUUGAUAUGGUGGGAUUCCUAUUUCAAAACAAAAAACACAAUCUAUGUUUUGAAAUUUUACAGUUUGUAAAUUACCACACAUUAGCUUCUCAUAUGCAUAAAGUGAGGUGUACUGAUAUCCUCUCUGGUCUCUAAGUGUAUGUAUUACAUUGUCUCCUGUCUGCUUAUGAAUAGUUUUGGUGUUCAAUUCUCACACCUGGCUUGACAUUUUCAUGGUUUUAUUUAUACUUUGCGGUACUUAUGUUACUCAUAUGUGCAUAAAUCCUUGCCCUCAUCAUCACUGUUUACGAACAGUAUAGCAUAACUCUAUUUCUUUUCUCUGUAAACAGUGAAAUUGUAAUGAGAAAAAGCGUGAAUAAGAGAGUCUCAUAAAAGUUUGAAAUGACGAGGCUCUUGCGUUUUCUGUUGCUACUGUGUAAACUGAGACUGAAUGCUUUGUUGACGUUUUCCUGAAAGUCAGGUCAGAAAAAAUGUAGCUUCUCGCUCUUUGUACCACCCGUCACAGUAGUGUCGCUGGUUUGUUGUUUUUCCCCUUCUUUGUUGAAGCUGGAAAUUCUGUAACUCACUAUUUUGUCAUGCAUAAAAAUCUGAAAGUACUUCAGAGAGAUGUUCCAAAUGCUUUCUUUGCCUCAGUAUUGUGCUGUUGUUGUAACUGUGUGAUUGACAGCAGUUGGCAUGCUGAUCUCUGGCAGGGGCACAGAGAGACAAUGAAAACAAACAAACCCUAACCCUGGGAACUGUGGCUAACAAGCCUUUGACAUGUUUUGUAAGAUAUUAUUAGCAGCUGUUUCCAUGAGUAAAGGCCACGUGCUAUUGGCUAAACAUAAAAAAAGAAAUACUAGAAAGUCUCAAGCUGUUGUUGUAAUUUUCAUGUACAAUGUGUUUGAUACUAUCUACAACAGUUUGAUACUGUUUAUCAGAAUAUCUCAACAAAUAUUGAUUAGGUUGAUGUGAAUUGCCCAAUGGACUAAGACUUUUGGCGUCCCUCACAGGAUGAACUGUAAUAACCUUUAAUCUUGUGAACUUGUAAUCUAUCACCAUCAAGAGCUCCAAGUGUCACUGUUGCAAUCAUUUAUCAAAGAUCUGCUAAAGUAAUGACAUUUUCAGCAGUCACAGGCAUCAUGAUAGUAAGCAGACACAUUAAAGGACAGGUAAACACUGUCAACUUACACCUGCUUCAUGUUAGUAGCAUUGCUUUUACUAAUUAGUUGUACUUAGAGUUUUGCAUAUCUGUGUCCUCUUACUCUGCAUCCUUUCAGAUUUUUUUUUUCUGUUGACAGUCUUCAUCUUACGAAGGAGUAUUAGGGCCAUAUUAAGAAAAAAAAAGACUUAAAGAUUAAAAUAAUUAAUUUACGAGAAUAAAAUAAUUACUUUCGAGAAUAAAGUCGUAAUAAAGUAAUUACUUGCAAGAAUAGAGUCGUAAUAAAAUCAUUAUGAUACUCAUGAUAAUGUUGUGCUGAUGUGCUAAAAGAUAAAGAAUCUCUUUGAUUGAGAAACCUUUAUUGAAGUAAAUUUUCAUGAAAUGCGCCAUGGCUUUUAUUUCAACAACUGUUAUCUGAAACAACAGGUCAGAAUAUGAGGACUUAAUUCUGACUUUAUUCUCAUAAGUAAUUACUUCGUUACGACUUUGUUCUCGUGAGGAAAUAUUUGAUUAUUACUUUAGUCUUGUAAGUAAUGAUUUAACUAAGACUUUUAGCUCAUAAGUAAUUACUUUAUUAUGACUUCAUUCUUGUUAGUAAUGACUGUAUUCCUGUUAGUAAUGACUUUAUUACGACUUCAUUCUUGUUAGUAAUGACUUUAUUUUUGUUAGUAAUGGCUUUAUUAGGACUUUAAUCUUGUUAGUUCUUGUAACUUAACAACUUUAAUCUCAAAGUCUUAUUUUUUUUUCUUAAUGUGGCCCUGAUACUCUGUUGUUUCAUCUUUCCUCUCAUUUUCAAUAAAGUACUUUGUCUUCUUGGGUUUGGGAACCACAGGACCUUGGGCUUUAUUUAUUUAUCAUCUGCAAACAGAAGUAUGAAAAUAUUUUUUAGUUGCUCUAAGUUGCUUUAAAUCCCCGGUAACGCAACAGUAACACACUUGAUUUUUGGAUUAGUUUGGUAUGAGUUGUAUUGAUUAGUUGUGCAUGCCAGUGACAAAGGGGACAAGAGACAAGUAUUUUUGACCUCUAGUCUCAAUGGCCCCAGUUAUGACAGCAAGACGCAGGUUGAAGAGUACCAGAGUCUGCCUUCAACAGUGCCACAUUGUGCCUGAUCAUUCACCUCUCACACUAUUUAGACUUAAUUGGCUGCAGCUGUUUCACCCUCUACAGAAGAUAGGUGCCUCCUGUUCUCUGUACUUUUCAUGCUGAGCUACAUACAUUGUGUGUAAAGAAAAUCUCAGCUUAUGUUUCUUUAUCGUCUUACAGAGGUAUAAUUGUCUGUGUAUGUGCAUUCUAGUUCUUCGUGCGAGUGUAAACAAACACUCAUGCUUUCACUCAUGCCCAUGCAAACUGUACCUGAUGAGCAGUAAAUGGAACGGAGUAGGGCCACCUGGUUCCUGUGUGUUUCGGAGAGCUUUACUUUUAGGGCGAGCCUUGCUACUUAGUUAAACAAAGGGCCUCCAUGUUGGUCCUCUAGAUAAACACACUUUCCUGAGAAAACACGGACACGGUUACACUUUAACCUGCCCAGGGAGGCCUCAGCUACAUCCUCCCGGACAGUUUAGGUCAGACCGGGCUACAGUUCAGACCCGCAGUGAGAAUCAUGCGCUGCACGUGAAACCAUGCUGGCCUGUCAAACAAUGGAGCCUUUGACAACCAUACCCCCCUUCCUCGUCUACAGUACAGUCAGAGUACUGUCUCUCCAGGGCUUGGGUGUCACUCCACAUCUCUGUUGUGCUCCCCUGGAGCUGACCAGCUGGCUUCUAGGCUCUGGGAUGUGAGAGCAGCAGCACAGAGGAGCUACAGUCAAAGUUCAAACCAGAUUAGCCCAGCAGAGGGGCCAGCAGUGACCCAACCCAGUCAAGUCCAGGCUAUUCCUGCAUAAAUAACUUGAUAAGCUGCGCCACUUGAGAGGAGGUUGAACCAGUCUUUUUUAGUCUGACCCUCCCUGGAUAAUCUCAGCUCUGGUCUGGCCCCACGGUCCCACCAAGGGAUGCUUGUGACUUUGACUUUGACUCCUUGGUAGGAGAGUUGAUGGUUUUACAUGCAACAAGGCGCCAAGGGUUCAGUGUCAAACUCAUGCAAAGAAAAACAGCAUUAUGUGAUGUAUAAAGUUAGUUUGAAUCUAUUUUUAUCAAUGAACUUAGAACCCAGAUUGAACACAUUUAUAAGCCUUGCAGCAAAGUUGUGAUAAACAGCUCUAGUUUUUGCAUCUACUAAAGGAAGUGUUUGGCCAAUAGUGACAAAUCCUUCUGCAUUUUUAGGCAUCACUGAAUUCAAUAUUCCAUAUACAAAAAAAAAAAAAAUUACAAGGUAUCUUCAUGAAGUUUAAUUAUAGUUCUGGGAGGCUUAUUUGUAUAAUGACAGUGUUGAAUGUCAUUAAUAAAAAUGUCAGUCGUACGUGGAUUACAGGUGCUGUCUGCUAUGUUUAGUUAAGUCUGAGUCUUAUCACAUGUUUUCGCUCACUAUCUCUGCGCAUGUUAAACACAAAAUGAAAGGAGUAAGUGAACAGCAUAUCACUCUGCCUAUAUUACUGGAUAAACAAAAGGUUUGACUGGUUAUGCAAGAAGGCAAGAAUCUUGUUUCUGCGCUGAAGUUGACUCUGAAGCUGUUGGAAGUGUAAAGAUAAGGAAAAUGAAGGGUCAAAUGAAGUUAAAAAGCUUCAACAUUUGAAACAAUGAAUAAAGGACUCUUAUCUCUAUGGUAGAUGAUGAACAUAAAUACAUGCAAUAAGUGUUAUCUGAUGGUGUAGUUAUGCAGAGCUGCCACCUCCCCCUCGGCACAGCGUCAGUCGUGUAAACACACAGCGCUCUGGAGGAAUGCUGGACUCUGUGACCUCCCGCCCCGAGUGCUGUUACAGUGCACUGAGUUCAGUGAAACAGCCCGCCCCAUGCUGCGCCUCCCCAAAGCUCCGCCUCACCCUAUCCCAGCCUGAGGCCCCACAGGGUGGAAAAAAACACACCUCCCUCACCCAACACCACCACAGCCUCCUCAAAUACACACACACACAUACACAAACAUGAACGGACAGACACACACAGACAUAAAGACAGACAAGUGCUCCCUUUCUUUACCCCCCAGCUGUCAGAGCUGUAUGUUCUUGUAGCUUCAACAACUUUGCCAUUUGAGGAUCUACUUGCAAGGUAGUUUAGCGUACUUCUCCCUUUUUCAAUUGUGUUAUCCGGCAGAGUGAAGACGAAUAAUAAAAACAGAAGUUCCAAACUUUAGUGAGCUCUUUAAAUUUUCAGUAAAAACUCAAAAUCACAUCCAAAUACUAUGAAACGUUGGAAGCCUGUUCUCUUUGUCAUGAGUAUCUGAAAUCUAUGAAUGAAAAGCACACAGAAAAAAACAGAAACAAGCUAGAUUAUUUUAUUUUUCUCAAGAAAUAAGCUCUGUCACUGACUCCAACUAAACAUCCAAUGCAUGUAGUUUGGUGGAGGCAUAGUAUAAGUAGGGUCAAGCAGACACUGCCCUCUGCUGGAGAAUGACUGAGGAGGGAGGGCAGCUGAACAUCGAAGAGAUGUGAGUUUGAUGAAGUCGCACACAAAGUAAUGAGGAACCCAUGCAAGGCAGAGACGGUGAAGUCCAGGACUGAUAGAAAUUCAAUGUAAUCUCUAAUAGCUGCACGCCAGCUGUAACCCCCUUCAGUGGAUUCUUUCAUUGAUCGCAGAGAAGGCACAGUAAAGCGAACAUCAGUGAUUACCACUCUGCUGCACCUCAUCAUAUUAAACACAAGGGGCCCUACACAUGUGUGCGAUACCCAUGGACACACACACACGCACGCACGUGUGCAGACUCACAUGCACACACAGGCACACAGUCACAGUUAGCUGUUGUCUGAGGAAACGAGGAGCUGUCUGGUGCCAUAGCAACCAAUGCGGAUAUCCCACCCUACCAGAGUGAGGGCGAAAAAAACAGAAAUGGCAGUGACAGAUUGACAAGACCCUAAUGAGAUCUUCCACACAGACACUAAUCUAUCUAUCUAUCUAUCUAUCUAUCUAUCUAUCUAUCUAUCUAUCUAUCUAUCUAUCUAUCUAUCUAUCUAUCUAUCUAUCUAUCUAUCUAUCUAUCUAUCUAUCUAUCUAUCUAUCUAUCUAUCUAUCUAUCUAUCUAUCUAUCUUGUCUGUCCAUCUGUCUGAGUAAUACUGUAUGUGUGUCUGUCUGCCACUCUAUCAGCUUGUCUGGCACUUUGUCACAGUGAGACUAAAUGGAGAAGUGGAAGCAUCAAAGUGCAGACGAUGGCGACAUCUGAGAAUUUGAGAAAACACAAUAUAAGAAACAGAAUAGCUGAGCGUGGGUGAGGGGAAGUGGGGAGAGCACAAACUGGUGGGGUCGGAGCGAUGAAAUGAGGCAAGAAGAAAAGACUCUGACUACUCUCUGGGGCAUGUCUGUCCAUCACAAGCCUGCAAACACAGACACUGCCGCAGUCUGCACCAGCCUGCCUUCUUCACCAGCGUGACUCCCAUUUGAACUGCAAUCUCAUAUGUAAUGCUAUUAUUCUGGCCCAUAUUCCAGGUUACAUAACACUCCAAGCCAAAUCCUGCCCUCAAUCUGUGAAAAAACAGCCACACUAGCUGUGAUAAAAAUAUAAGACUUAGUAUUACUUCUGAGGCACCAGAAUAAAACAGUCCAACAUUCCCAUAUCGUGUAAAGUCGGUGUUUUACUCAGGUAAUUGUUGCAUGUAUGCUCUGUUUACGGUUGUUUUUGUCUCUCAUAGGUGGCUGCUGGAGUUCAGAAGUGAAUGGAAAGAAGACACCAUGUACUAACUGGUAAGUUGAGACUUAAUCAAGCCUAAAUUCCCGCGGCUGGCCUGCAGGUGGAAGUCACACCCACUGCUGUGUUUGCUCAACACAGUACAAUACUAGCACCUACACCAAAACUCUCCACUCCCAUUUUUACCAAUCCUGUCUGCCAGGUUUUGGUGUGAUGUGGCAAUGCGACAUAAUAUUAAUACUCCCUCAACUUUUGCACCAAUCUGUGUAAGUGAGAACCUGUGUUUGUUUUUGUUUUCACCUCAUGAUCUUGAUGCUAUUUAUGUCGGUAGUAUUCGGCAAAAGACCUCACGGAGUGACUCACAGCACUGGUGUGACCUAUUUAUUUCUUUUCUUUUCUUUCUUUCUUUUUUUUUAUACCAUGGUGUCACUCUGAGGUCUAUGUGCAAUGCCAGCCUACUGUUGAGCUUUGAUGUGCUGCCCUGAAGUGAGCCCGGAGCUCGUCAGCGAGUCUGUUCAGUCAGAAAGGAUUCAAUUGAGACUUGUGAAGAGGCCAUGACUUUGACUUAUCUGCAAAAAAAAGUGGAUUAUAGCUUAAAAUUAACAUGUCUCUCUUCCUAUUAUGGAGUGGUAUGACCCCUUAUUCUGUGAUCAUCAUAAGACAGAUAACCCUCAGUGUAAACCCAAAUGAACAGCUUUUCAAAAUCCUUUUCCUUAAAAUACUUUAUCCUCGUAUGACCCAGUUUCAUCAUUUUGAUGCGACUUGCUCGGAUAAAUUUGCACAUUACAUUUGACUCAGUAAAUCACAAGCUAAGCACAGACGCUUUUGCCAUCCGUUGCACUCGACUAUCUGUGAAUGAAAUUCAAGGGUAGUGAGAGGCAUCCACUUGCUCCACUGUCCCCAUUCUGGCUCUCGGUUACCUGGGAUGGCCCUGGCUUCCUCCUCCUCCUCCCCCUCCUCUUCCUCCUCCUCCUCCUCCUACUGUUUUACGAGCACAGCCCCACCUGAUGCGCACAUCUGCUUGCCCACUCAUCUACGCCACAGCUUUGGUAGGUGGGUGAUUGGCGGGGGUGGAGUGGGGUCGGCGCAUCAGCCAAUCACAUGCAUAAUCGUGACAGCGUUGGAGUGAUUUGACACUUGUGUCUGGCCAAUCACAGAGCACUGCAGCAAAGAAAGCAGCAGUAGUUAGAAAAAAAAAAGAGUAAGUGCAGUAAGAAUUUAUUCAAAGGGGAAAUCUUUGCAAUGCUGUAUUUUUUCACAUUUUACGAGUCUCAGUGCUAUGUAUACGACUUUACCAACAAAAUUCGUGCAUAAUGACAAAACUCGAGUGAGAGCAUGUAAAAAGUGUUCAUCAGAAACACACAAGAUAUGCAAAUAUCCACUGGGUGUGAGGUGUCUCCUAGACUAUCAUCCAUUUUAUCUCCUUUUAUUCCAUCUUUUGAUUACUUCUCAGCUCACCUUGAUCUCAAACAGAUCUGUAUGAUCAUCUGGCACAAUAAAUAAGGAUAACAACCACACACAUUCAUCCAACAUCAGUGUGACAGCGUUUAGUUGUUGUUAGGAGAGGAACCAGAUGAUGCUACGGUUGAAAUAUUGACACAGUGGAACAUAAAAACAAACAUUGUAUGUCGUAUUGAAUGUACAAUCAAAAUAACUCUGUAAGCUGUGUGCCUUCUAGUGAAUUCACUUGCAUAUCUAUGAUGAUAUAAAAACUUUAAAUCAGAAAAUUGAAAUGGAUGUUUACUUUGUGCAGAGCAGUACCAGAAUUUUAGAUAAUGGUGCAGGUCAGGGGAAUUUUCAGUGCAUACUGUAUCCCUAAAAGAUUAAUUUUUCACCAUCCUUCCAUAAAUUACUAACUCUUUUGUUAAAGUAUGAUUUAGCAUGAAAAAAACUUUGGUGUAGAUUCUUGUUGUGGAUAAAAUCUUUCUAAGAAUGUUGCAGAUUUUUAGCAGAGAUAUGCUUCCCCUCACAAUGAAAUUACUAUUAUUUUUUUCUGUCAGCCUAAACUCAUUUUAGUUUAUUAAAAGAAUCAGCUUGUAUUCGUCAGGUCUGUUUACCACACAGUGGAAUAUUUUGUAUUUUGUCUUUAGUUUAGCACAGAAGAAACCUCUUUGGUUCCAGUAAAGGUAAACCGAUUCCAUCGUCUCUGUGGGAUGUUGCAGUGUUUGCUCGUUGAAUACAUUUCUUGAGUCAGGUGAAGGAGGUUUUUACAGCGGAAGCCAGUAUGUAUGAACAGUUUGAUCAGAUAGCACACAAGGUUAUUUUAUUAUGUUUUUCGAAAUUCAGCAGUAAAUGUUGAUGACGAUUUUAUAGAUUCACAGAGAGAAAGAGAGAGGCAUCACUGAGAUUCUUACCAUUUUCACAAGACACGACAAGAAUUUAUCUUCUUUAGAUUGACAUGGUCAUGGCCAUUUGACUGAACUGCCUUUUCACUUCACAGUUGAAUUCAGAGAAAUGAUUCAUGAAAGUAAAGCCAACACAACUAUGUCUGUAUACAGAAGAAAGAUCCCUCAUAUUAAUAAGAGAAUAAGGAUAUUAUAGGUGUGUGACUGGUGUUUACUAUCUGGUUUGAUGCCAUUCAAAUGUGUCUCUCGGUGAUCUUUAAUAUUGUGUAACAGUUCUGUGAAUGUCCUGAUUUGUUGAUGUGUUUUUCUUGGACAAUUAUUUAAUCUUGGUCAGUGAGGCUUGACUGAAAAAUGAUGAUUCUAUACUUGGUCUAAAUCCUGCUCAGUCUGCAGUUGAGUCUGACAGUCCACUGUGGUGUUAUCAUAAUUAAGCUUUCAGAAAUGUGAUUGAAGGGCGCAUCGUAUAUUGUCCUCUCACUGUGGAGAGAGAGACUGUAGACCAUGUCUGUCUGUGUGCGUGUGUGUGUGUCCCUCCCUCACAGCCCUCACAGCCUUACAGCCUCACACACACAUGACUCACAUUGUAAUGAGUGUGUGUGUGUGUGUGUGUGUUCUCACUUGUACGUCUGCUCUGGAAAGGCUAAGCAGCGCAGGCUGAAGUGCAGACUUGGGUGGAUCUGUGUCUGUGGACCUCUCCACUGCACAAGAUGAUGACAAAGAGGUUUGUGCUGGACUGUUAUACAUCAAGAGUGUGUGUGUGUGUUUGUGGUUGUGGUCAAGGAUGUGAUUCAUUGAGAGUUUGUCUCAUGUGUUCACUACAAGAGAAAGUGCAACUGAGUCAUCAGACGGACACAAUCGUUCAGGAAACCGCAGGAGUGUCUCCACACUCUGUUGGCGUAAGCACGCACACACAUUCAUGCACACACAGUCACACAGCGGAGUUUCUUGAUUGAUGAAAUUAGGUCUUUUUUUCCUGCUCGGUAUGACUUCGCAAUGUUCGGAAUGACGCCCCUGAUGGUUGUGGAAAGACACACCUUACAGAGAUUUUUGAUUCAUAGCUUUGAGAAAAAAGCAGAAGAGAGACACAGACAGGGUUGAGUCACUUCUCUGAACUACUGACCCACAGUUGAAGAGGAGGACAGGGAAACUAAUCUAGUCAAAUCGUGAACGAAGGGAUGUAAUGAAAGACAAAUAUCCCAAAUUUGAUGUGUCUUACCUUUUGAUCCUUCAAGACUUUCACCAAUUAUUUUAUUGAAUUACUAUCAUGGAUGAUUGUCAAAGUCAACCGCUCUGAGGUAAAAUAUGUGUGUAACCAGUCUGCAUUGACACACAGAUGUUCCACUGAUUAAUUGAUUAGGUGGUAACUUUAAGAAAUUAGGUUCAGGAUUGUAUAGAUGUUGUGGUGUUAUUUCUGUUUACAAUCAUUUAUAGUGUGAUCAUUAAACAGGAAGAUAUCUGCUCUGAAUAACAGGGGUAAGAGCGUUGUGUUGAUAAAGUUACCUUUUUGUAAUCUAUGGUAGAAAGAGGGUCGGCUGAGUUGCAUAUUUUUUCAUCCACAACUAUUAUCUUUGAUCGCUGCGAUCAGUUUGUGCACAUCCUCAUGAAUCUGUUUACCUUUUUUGGCUCAAUAAAAAGUCAAAUAUACUUCUUUGAGAUUUGAGUGACCUUUUUUGGUUAAAUAGGUCCAACCUCAGCCUCUCAGAAGCUUAUUGUUCUCUACAAGUUAGCUUUGAUUUAUUAUUGAAUAUAUACUAACUUGGAGUGAUGUCUUGUCACUGGAAAUGAAGACAAUCAUGUUUGUCAUAAAAAACUGGAUGACAGAGACAAACAUUAGUCGCUCAUUUGGAUUGGAUUUCAUGGAUUUACUUUUAGCCUUACAUAAAUGUUUGACCUCUUAAAGGGACAUUUCUUCUUUUUUAAUGAGGGUUGUAUUCGGAACUUGUCAAUAAUUUCCUCAGUAAUUGUAUCACCCAUCAGGGAUGCCGGUUAAGUCGGGCCCUUUUGUUGAGCAAGUUCCUGGAGAACUGGAACGGAAGCUGGCUAUCAGCUGCAGAACAAAGGGGCCAGCUCGACUAUGUAAUUUAGCUAAUUUUAACGAACUCCAGCCAAAGCACGGUUCUGGUGUAAGUGAACACUGUUUGGAAACUUUUAGCAUUUUACUCUGCAGUCAGAAGACCCAUCUGUUUUUGCACAUUUACGGAUGUGACACGUCUUCUUUUGCCUGCAUCCCAUUGAUCGGCCAGACAGUGUUAUAAUAUAGGAUUUGAUUUGAUUUAUUUUGGAUCCACCAUUAGUUACAACAAGAUAUGCAGUAACUGUUCCUCCUGGGGUCCUUAUCUUCUUUUCCAUUUUCCAUCUGAGCUUAGACAUAUACUUUGAAAAAAAAGUGAAGAAACAAAAAAGAAAAACAGAACUUAUCUUAGGGAUAACAAAAAAAAUCAUAUAAUACGAUUUUUUUAUAUCUCUAUAUCAAUAUCUUAGUCUGACAUUAUUUUACGCCACAGGAAGAUUACUGAAUGUAAAGAUUUGAUGUUAUUUAGAAUUCAAGCAAAAAAAGACGGGUUUAGGAUCCUGUGGCGUCUUCAGGGUGGUCAAAACCCACCACCACGACCACAGAACAAGUUGAAUUUAAAAAAUAACCAUCAAUAUAAAGACUCAAACAAAAUGUGUCAUUUAUCUUUCCCAAGAAAACAAACAAAAAAUGAAGAGAAGCAGCCCUGUUCCCCCCACAGACUGCAGAAAGAGAAAAUCAUUGGCAUGGAUGUCAGUUUCUCUGAGUAAUGCAGUGUUGCUGAUUGAAAAGAGAGAGAUAUGAUUUAAAGUUGACUGUCAUCCAGGAGCACCUGCACAACCUGCUAUCGAGAUGACCAAUUAACUGUCAGUUAAUGCCUCUUUGUGCAUACUUUACAAGCACACACACGCACUCGAACACCUGCUGCAAGUCAUGCAUAUUGAGUUAGACUGACAAUGCAGAUCAUGUAUGAAUUGCACAACAUCACACAGUAAAGAAAGUAGAUUUUCCUUUUAAGCUCAAGCAGUCCAGUCCAAAUUAGGGAAAUAACCCUGUUCAUUGCUUUUACAGUAAUAACUACGUUUUCUGUUGUUUAGAUAAGGGGUCAGGAAUAAUGAAGAUUUAUUAUAAUACAGGUGGCUUUAAUCCUAGUCCUUUCUUGAGUCGACCUUUUUCUGAAUAAACUGUUAUACUGCGACAGAAAGCUGCACGAUUUAGUUACCACUUGUUUGUUGAGUCUCGUUUUUUUUUUUUCAGACUAAUUGCAGCCGUCUCCUCGAUUCAGAUCACUGCCUGUCCUUUCCCUCCCCUGCAAGCAGACGCGUGUAACGGUCUGGUAAUGUGUGUGUAAUGUUUGGCAUUUUCCAAACCGGAGUGCUCCGCUAUUUGUUUAUUAAAAUGUCUCAGUGACGCAGCUUCCAGAGUGCGACGUCCAGAAUGAAAAGGAGUAACUUGUCAGAGGUUUGAGGCGUGACCACAGACUGCAGACGUUGAGAGGAGGCUGUGUCUGUGACAUCACCCCCUGGUGUCUGAAGGGAGGGUUUCAGACUUUCAUUUGGGCUGGGCAAUAGGGAUGCAGUCUGCCGUGGCAAACAAGAGUUAACUCAAAUCACUGACUGUGAGAGGCUCAGAGGCCUGUCAGUUAAGACUCCCCAGAGCUUGCCAAGAAUUUUUAUCUUCGCUUCCUCUUUUGAUAUUGAGAAUCUCCUGAUAACAGGUCUGGUUUGGUAUAUACGGUUUCUGUGAGGUUUUUUUUUUGCCAGGUAUGAAACAGACAAAACAAAAACUGAUGCCUCUGUAUGAAGUACAAAAGGACAUGAAACCACCAGGAAUAAGGCUGACCAUAUAGGUAAAAGCAUGUAUUAACUAUUAGACUAUUUAUUGGAAUACUUUUUAAUAUAUUUCUAUCUUUAUAUUUGACAAAGUACAGUACAGAAGUAUUUUUAUAUUGUCUAUUCUGUAUUGUCCAAGUUGUUUGUUUUUUUGUGGGACAGUGUAUGAAUUUGUGUAUGGCUGUUGUCUUUGUGUAUGUUUUUUAAACUCACUGUAAAUGAAUUUCCUUACAAGGAAAAUAAAUUCAACCUUACCUAACCUUAAAGAUGAUGAAAUAAAUCUGAAUAGGCUUAACAUUAAUUUGACGAGGUCAAUGUUUACCCCAUUGAUGGAUCAAUCCAAACUUAGAGCUAUAACAUUUUACACAACAGAGAUUCCCAGAAAGUAAUAUAUUAAUCUCGUCGAAAUAUUGCUCCAAGAAAAAAAUAUUGGAUGCUCCAUGUGUAGAGACUCUUGUUUACAGUUAGGCAGCUUUUCGCAUGCUGUUUUGCACUCUCUGAAUAAAUGCAUAAAAGCCAGACAAAGUUAAAAUUGAUGCCAGCUACAAGUUUUAAAAGAAGUUAGAACAGGAGCAACAAAACACAAGUUCCCUGACCAGGUAUUAAAAAAGGAAAUCAAGAAAGGUGAAGUCUCUCAGAAGUAAAAAUGGGAAUAGGUCAUUAGAGGGAUAUUCCGGCGUAAAAUAAUUUAGGGUCAAACACACCCUAACACUGAGUUAGAACCCCCCCGAAUGUUGCCGACCGCUUGCUUCUCUAGUUAUACCAACUUAAGUAAUGACUGCACGAUAGCAAUACACAGCGGUCUGAGGAGCCACACACAAACCUUAUCCAAAACGCCACUCUAUAGCCACAAAUAAUGCUCAGAACAGCACCUAACUUCACCUAACCACCUAACCAAACAUCUUUUUAACUUUGCCUGAUUUCUUUAGCAAAGAGACUAAAUACAACUCACCUACUCUCUUCCAGCUGCCGCUUGUUUGUAGCGAGACCUCGGACCAGUCCAUUAUGGACUGCUGCGGGGUGAUGCAGCUGAUUUAAGAUGGUCCACAGAAUGAGGAGUAGUCCUUCACCAAAGGGGCAAGGCUGGGAACUGAUACAAAUACUGGUACUGAAUGGCCAUGAUCUUUAGGUCCUCAGAUAGCACUCCAUUAAAACAGCCAUGGCUUUGUCGUAAAAUUCACUGCAUGACUAAAAACCACGCUUAGAUACCAUUCUCUUUAAAGACAGUUUGUUGCUGCAUCCAAAACCUGUGCCAUGCAAAAAGGAAACCAUGUAUAAAAACAAUCAAAAGCACCAACCAUUGAGAUGCACUUGGGCCAAAUGGAAGACUGCCCUGUGUUUUGACAUUUAUAAAAUUGAAGUUUUAUAUUGCUGUAUUUUUUGUCUUAAAGACGAGGGGAACCACCCAGCUUGUUAUCAACAUACAGUCCAAAAGCUAGCAUCCAUGAUGGCACAAGUGCCCAUGGCAUAGGUAGCUAACACUUCUGUAAUCAGCACUUAACAGGUUUGAAGGCUUCAUAUGCUGCAAUGAGUUUUUCAGGAAAGACCUCUCAUAUUUCAGUAAGAGCACUUCAAACCCCAUUCUGCACGUAUAACACAACAUGGCUCUACAGCAUAACAGUCAGGGGGACAAGUCAGGUGACCUGACUUGUCAUCCUUUCAAAACAUUUGGCUUAACAUGACACAGAAACUACUAUGGAGAGGACCACAUACUGUUUAUCAGCUGACAUCUUAAAUCAGGCAAGAAUGAGUCAGCAUCUCACUUUUAUAGCUCUAUACUCUGGUCUCCUACAUUCCUAAAUGUUUACAAUAUUGUGAAAAAGUAGAAGAGAUGAUCCAAUACAACGGCCAACAUGUUUGUCUCCAAAUUUCCUUGAAUCUCAGUGUUGAGACCAAAUUUAAAAUGAGAAUGCAUUUUUUCAUAAAGGAGUAAGUAAGUUUUCUGUUUUAACAUUUGACUUGUUGUCUUUUUACAAAAUGAAAUGAAACGAAGGUUUGAAUGAUAAGCAAACAAUCAAAAACAGUUUUUAAUCAACAUUUUAAACUGAGUCUCAGCUUUGCUGAAGUUGAGGUUGUAUCAUUUUUGGUCAUUCUGCAUUUAUUUAAUGGCAAAAGCAGAGGAGGGACAGGAAGAGAGGGGGUGAUGUGCUGCAAAGGCAGUGAUAAAAAGCUUCACGCUCCACCAGGUGAGAGCUAUCCGGGUGCUCUUCUGCCCUGGAUACAAUCAUUAUAUUAUUUAUAAUACUUUACUACAGUGCUGUUGUCUGCUGCAAUUAGGUAAUACCAGGUUUUGACAUCCUAAAUACCCACAAUGAAUAAUUAUCACGUUAAAUAAAGUUAGUUUUGAGAACCUCUAUUAGCUCUGAUUUGGUACUGUAUCAUUUGAUCAGUAGUUGCCCAAAUUGCCCUUAAUUGUUUGUGGCUCAGUUGCACAAGCUCACUUGAUGAUUCUCAGAGACGUUUAUGCAAAUGAAGCUGUGGCACAAAUAUGCCCCCAGUAAUAAUACGAGAAGAGAACUAUGCCAAUGACUAGCAAUUGAAGCAUAAUUUACACACACAGAUGGAGGUCCUGCAGCAGUCAUCAUAGUUAAAAGGAGAACAUUCAGAAAGCAGUCUUAAAAGCAGUCUCAAAAGACCUGCACCUUUUCCUUUGCUCUGAUUACUAACAGAGUUCACGCCUGACUCUACGAGAAGUUUAUUCAGUAUGUUAGAUAGAUCCUCUCUUGAUGUCACUACCAUUUACAAGUUUAGUUUCUCUGUAUUUUUGCUUUGGCAAAUCUCUAUCUACUCAGGGUGGGAAUCACCAGUGACGAUACUAUCUUAUUACGAUAUUUGAUACACGAUACGAUAUUAUUGCAAUUUUUAACAUUUUGCAGUACAGUAAGUAUUUUGAUACAAUAUAUUGCGAUUUAUACAUUUCUUUUCAACUGUUUAGCUAAUUUAGCGUUUGUCUUUCCUUUAUGUUUGUCUGAUUUACGCUGUAUUUUAUUUUCAUGUCGUACAUCUUGCAAACCUUUGGUCGUGUUCACACCUAAAGGUCCAUUUCCUGAUUCGAAUCCAAGGCAAGACGAUACAUUUGUUUUGAUUGGUUAACUGGUCCUGUUUGCGUUCACAAAGGACAAAUUCAAUCGCUCCAGAAAAUGGAACCGUAAGUCACGUGACCGCGAAUAUCGUUCGGCUAUUGGUCAUUACUUUAUGCUGGAAUACAAACCCCGCUCUGCUGUCUUCACCUGUCAUGGAGCAUCGUAGACUGAUUUUGCUUUUGCUACUCAUCUGGAGUGUGUAUCAGAAGACGCUAGUCGAUCGCACGAAUGAACGGCUCGUUAGCCAGCGAGCGUGAACUGCAACAUUAAUUGAUACAUUCCGGAGUAGACAUGCUGCAAACAACAGACGGAUAAAGACGAGACGGCGACAGGCAUUAAUUAUGUGUGUGGUGCGUUUCCUGUGAUUGGUGUGGAUGACAUUCACACCAGAAAUGAACCGCUCCAGAGUUCACUUGAAAGCGGUCCGAGACCACCUCUUCAGGCGGACCAGAGUUUGUUUAUUUGGUACGCACCAGAGUUCGAGGUUAGCGUUCACACCGACCCAAACGAACCGCACCAAGGGGGUAAAUGGUCCAGGGUUCAGUUCAACCUGAGGGUGGUGUGAACGCGCCCUUAUUUGUUGCAGUAACUUUCUCCUGCUCUAUGAUGUCAUCUCUGCCGACCUCACAGUUGAAUUUAUUUUUCCAUUAUCAUAGAUUUGACUUCAUGUUUACAAUUAAUUUGAAAAAAAUCGAUACUUGGUAAAUGAGACGAUAUGAUUUAUCACCAGGCAAAAUAUCACAAUACUAUGCUGUGUCGAUUUUUUCUCCCACCCCUACUAUCUACAUUUCAAAUAAGGCUGUUAAAAACAAGGUACACUGUGCAAUAUUCUGCGACAGGAUUCCUUUAUUCUGUGCUGUAAAAUUGUUGAUUUUGAAACAGGUCAACCAACAUGAAAAUGUCUUUGAGAUGUCUUUGCAGACUAUGUCCUGUCAGCUGCAGUCUAUACAUUAAAUCAGCCUCUCUGUAAAGCCACUAGGAGUCUUGUGGCCAAGCACACCAUUAACUGUGGAAUUAGAAACCCUGAGAAGUUGUUAAUCACCGCAGUCAUUCACAUUCCACAUAGACUCUACUCUGCUCAGGACCUCCAUGAGCUGGGGAUGGGGCAUGGUCUGGGCCAAUGCUAUUGGACCCGAUGGUCUUUAAUUAGAGGGAGAGCUUGGCAGGGACUGAUGGAGGAGAAAGGCUCUCAGGAUGUGAGUCCAGGGUGAGAGGGUUCACACACAAAACACUGGCUUUUCAUCACCGCAUGACUCACUCAGUUUGUGUGUAAAGUGCAGUGUAUGUGUGGAUGUGUGUAAGGCAGAGAAAGUGAGAAAAAGUGUGUGUGUCCACUCGGUACUGUAUACAUGUGUGCGGACAAUGCUGCGCGUGCGUGUGUUUCUUACCUCACUGCUCAGGCAUUCCAGUAGAGAAAGUGGUGUGAAGAGAAAGAGCGGCUCUCACAGUGUGGGUAUUCAUGUCUGUGAACACUGGAGCCCAGUCCGGGCUCCAGUGUUCACAGACAAAGCCUCUCCAGCAGGACCCAGACACACUCACACAGAAAGGGAGCGACAUAAGCAGAGGGACACAGGAUUGGGGGAGACUAGGUAACAAGGGGGAGAAAACAGAGAAGGGGCGGGAGAGGGUAAAUAUGUGGCAGCUCCCUUUCAACUGUGAAUGCAGGUGUGAUGGUUUGUCAUCUAUACUGGACAAAGCAUCACACCUGCUCUGCACUGCAACGGUUUUGUCACCAAAAUGACCAGUUCAUUAAGUCACUGCCCUCAGACUAUGAAGUCCCAAAUUUCAGAGUUAGAGGGGAUAACUGUCACUCAGAUGUAUUGUUCUCUUUCCUCGAAGACAUAACAGCGUUGGAAGACACUUGCACAACCUGCUGCUUACCGCCAUCUUUAUAGUUUUUUUCUAGCGCUGUUGGCAGAGUUCAUAAAUCCACCACAUCUCUCCUCCUAAAAGGGUCCUCCCUCUCUUACUUAUACCAGCCAAUCCCGUCGCUCUCUUUCAGUGCUCUCUACUCCCUCUAGCUUUGAGCCAGCAGCCCAAGCUCUUAGGAUUUCAUGAGACUUUCUUCCACUUGGCCGUCCCGUCACUGCUCCCCCUGCCUGGCCCCUUCCCUAGAUCGGGUAGCCUGGUUCACUGUGUCCUUAAACAACCUGUGUGCAUGUACAGGAAAGGGGCCCCAAAGUGGGGAGGACCAUCUCUAACCCUUCAUUUCGAAAAAGAGACAUAGUCGUACUAGAAAAUGACUGCACUGACUUUUCUUAAUCAAUAAACGUCAGUGCAUCAUUUCCACUGUCUCCAUCACCAAAAAUCUCAGUGUUAUCUGCAGAGUAAAUAUCGACAGGCAGAGUCGAUUUACAUACAAACUCAUCUUUCCGCAUGCGGCUCUUUAACCAGUGCCGUUAAGGGUUUGCUCUAUCUGUUAGAAUCCUUAUAUUUGACUUCAGGGUGAAACCUCAUCAAGGGAUUCGCUCUUGUUGAUUUAAAGCAUUUUAAGCAAGGCUGGGGGUCGAGUUAUUUGAUGAUAUUUCAGGACACAUUUCUUUAUUUUCACCUGGAUUAGAUAAAGGAAAAAAAAAAUCAGUUUUGAAAUUCUUCUUAAUAAAAACUACUUUUUAACACAUGCAGUAAACCACUUUUUUUAAUAGCAGAAACUGUAACUUUUGACUUUGAUCACCAUACUGCUCACCCCAUCUCUCCAUCUAUAUUACUCACCCUCACAUGAGGCACUUGUCGUUUUUGAGAUCGAUGAAUCUAUAGGUGGAUGGAUAGAUGGCACCAGCUCGUAAUAGAUGGCCUCUCCCUGAAUGUGCUGAGUCACAGAGCAUGAGUCUGCAGGAGCCAGAAAACAGGCAGCAGACAGAUGAUGUUGGAUGUGGUUUCUGGAGUGAUAUUAAUGAUCCGGGUAGAGUUAUGCAUCAGCAGUUAUAUGUUUGAAGAGUUAAAGUCGAUAUUACAGACUUUAUGGGCAUGUCAGUGAUUUUGGUGGUCUGUUAAUUCUGCACAUUCACUGCAUUCAUCAUAAAUUUGUACAAACUUUAACAGCUCGGUCUUUACUCAAAGGCUGCACCAGUACAGAUUUAUGUUAGGUGUAUGUUAGAUCCCACACUGAUAAAGUAGCAGCAACUAAAUCAUGUGCAUGUUGUCUAUAGAAAAGGUUUCUGUGGAAGAACGAACAGAUGCUGCUGCUGCUGUUGUUGUUUUUUUCACUGGAUUGCUUCACAGUGUUGGGGAUGGAAGGCAGUAAAUGUUGUCAGUGUGCUCCUAAUUUUUCUUAAGAUAAAUACAACAUCUGAUUAGCUCUUCUGCUGCAAAGAAAGUGUUACAAUCAGUUUCAAGGCUGCACCUCAAAUUAAGUGAGUGAACCUGCUUAAAUGAAGACAAGAGAAGCCUCUGAUUGGGUUUGAUUUGCAGAUGUUUUUGGAUGCACUUCAAGUAUCGGACUGAUUAGAAUCAGCCUCCUUUAUUGUUAGCAAUACAUGUAUAAAUGAAGCUGGCAAUUCUAUGGGUGUUAAGAAAAAAAACAACACUUAUUUCUCUUUAUUAAGAUGAAUAUUUAGAUCACAAAACAGACAAGCCAUCUGAAAUAUAUCUAAGUGAAGUUGGGGUUUGUGGAUUUAAGAAAUUUGAUGAGGAACACACAUGUUAUGGCUCUGUCUUCAUUUUUUUAAAGAUUUUUUCUGCAGCAGCUGUGGUGGUGAAUGAGUUAAGUCUCAUCGGGUAUAUGUCUCAGUAAGUCAUUCAUAACAUAAUGCAGGUGCAGUCUGCAGAGGGGAUGCGCAAUAUUGUUUUCUUGCCAUUUUUUUUUUUCAAACUGAUUUUGGCCAGUAUCAGUAUUGAGAUAUGCACACCAUUUAAUUUUUUUAUCGUAGUGAAUGCAAAGUUUUUCCAGUACCAGAAUUUACAUAUUACUUGUCUAUUUAUUAUAAUUAUAAAUCCUUUUUAAAUGUCUACAUUCAGAAAUGCAUCUAUGGUCUGUUUCUAAGACCUCACAUCACUUCUUUUCAGCAUCAGCACACUCAUGUACAUGAUAAAUGCAUCACUUUUUUUGGUUGAUAAUUAUAUCUGCAGUCAUUUUCAUAUCUGUUUUUAACUUUUUUAGCUAUUUUUUGCCAGUACUGAUAUCAUUCCAGUAACACUGCAGUACCUAAUUUGCACGUCUGCCUCCAUGUUGAAAAAUGCUCGGGCCAGACCAGUUAGUCACAUGCAUGCACACAGACACUAAAACCCUCAUCCAUCAUCGACAUGCACUCUGUCACCUACAGAUAAACCACUGAAGGUAUUACAAAAACUCACACAACCUUUCAUAAAUAUCAGUAACCAGAACAUGAGUGAUUGUCCAGUUAAAUAUAGGGACAUUAAUGGCCCAGUAGACACUCUUGUCAUAUGGCUUUAUGAUCCCUUUGACUCCUGAUCCCCUCAAAUCCCUGAUGACCCAGAGGCCAUGACCCUAGCAUCUGCCAGCAGCCGCAGAAAGGGGGAGGCAAGCGCCGACUGUACCCAGACAGAUGCUCUAUAAGAUAAAGUCUCUGUAUAGUGAAGCCUCUCGUACACUCUCUGUCUCACAGGGCAAGAUGAGUCAUUGGACAUGGAUCCUGACUUCUCUGGCUUCGAGCUACAUUCAAUGAUUUGAAGCAGACUCUUGAGAUAUCUGGAGGGAACGCCCUAUAAGGGUCCUGUUUGGUCUAAUACUGUGUCUCCGAGUAAAAAAUGGAUGCCUGCGUCUGAGGCCAAACUUUUGAACUUUAUUGUGUUGGCUCAGUGUUACCGAGAAAGGGAUGCCAUUUAAAUGCCACUGGUAAUAUUUGGUAUAUUAUGUAAGUGUGUAAAAACUUUCAGCAGUGUCAGAAUAGUGAAACAGACUAGAGAGUUCAGAGAGAGAUCAAGUGAGUAUGCUUAAUCUCAUCUUUCUGUGAACACAUGAUUAUCCUUAUGGUCUCUGGUUUUCAAAAGGAGAUUUGAUCGCUCUUUUCCCUGAAAGUCCACCUUUCUUAAGUUCACUUUAUCAUUGUUCGUUACUGAUGUAGGUCUGUAUAGAAUAAGCAAGACACUUGAGGCUGCCAUGAUUUAAAAAAUUGGAUCCAUACUUCAAACCAUCCCUCCAUCUCUCUCUCUCUCUCUCCUGACAGAAACUUGGCUCUCUUUGGAGCUUCAGAGGACUCUGUACUGCUCCCUUUACAUAUCCAAACAGCUCUUUCAACGGGCAUGUCAGUCAGAAAAAAAUGAUCUAGAAAGACUGGAAGACACCAACUUCUCCAUGCUUCAGAAAGUGGUUGCAUGAACUGGUCUCAGUGAUACACAUGGAGAAAUUGCGAGUUAAUGAUUCAGAAUGUAAAUAUAAAUGGGAAGAAUCUUGGGGUCUCUUCCUGCAACAUUUGCACUUACCUGGACAGCAGUGGUACCUGCAUGUAUUCACUGAUUUUAUUGUAUAUAUGGACAUUUCUAUUGCAGACACCUUGGAUGUAGUGCUAACACAUAUAGGAUGUGCAAUGAUUUUGACCUUGGAACAGGGUUUAGAUGAACUAUUUGUCAUAUAUGUACCUCCUCUCUGGCUGCGAGAGAGAGAGAGUGUGUGUGUGUGUGUGUGUGUGUGUGUGUGUGUGUGUGUGUGUUCUAGUGUAGGAUAUUUUUUUUGUUUGCAUUUUGUUGUCAUAAAAAAACAAAAAAACAAAACAGUCUUUCAUAAGUCAUGGGAUGGCAUAGCCCGUAACAAAGUAUAGCUUUUUCAUAACAACAAAUUUACUCUCAUGAGCAUCUUGGAAUGAAGUUACACACAGAAAAAAAGUAAAAUAAAAAUGUUUAUUUUCUGAUAAUUCAUCAUCAUUCAUAAACACUUUUUUCCUUAGUAUGUUUCCCAAUGAAAAACUGACUCAUGUAUGAAUUUUCAUUACUAUAUGGAUCUGCUUUUUUUAUUUUUUGUUCUUAAGGAAAGGGUUCAGUUGAAAUGUGUGUUAUGUCUCCUUUCAUUUUUAAUACUCCAAUUUAACAAAUUUAAAAUAUUUUUUGCGAUAGUUGCAGUAGAAGAGAAAAAAAAACAUGAAGCGAAGCUUGAAAAUGUUUCUUUGCGUAAUGUUUGACCUUCAUUUUAAUUAAUUUUUGCCAGAGUUUCGUAUUACCUUAACUUUUUGAGUCAAUGGUGAAGGUUCUUGUUUGUUUUUUUUGCAGAAUAGUUAGAUAUCCACUUGCUCACAGCUCACCUUUUUAUGCUUGAGAAAGAUGAGUUGACUCUCUAAGUAGAGGAAACUUAGUUAAUGUUGAAGUUAAUCAUUUAAGUAGAAUCCACAUUUAAGCAUAUCCUAUGUGAGGGCUUCCAUUGUAUUAUUAAUAUGUGCGAUUAUUGGAUCUGCUGCCUGUGCUCUUUAUGUGUGCAGCGGUGCACGAGUUUGAUGUGUGCAAGUAAAGCUGUUUUCUCUCUCCUUCCUGUGUGUUCUGAAAUCUCCUCUGCUGCAGACAGUCUGGGGUGCAGAGAUGGUGGAUGGGGGGGGCGGCGGCGUUGGGGGUGGGGAGGAAGGCAGCGGACGUGGCGGCAGGCCAGAAUCAAUUGGCAGUGUAAUGAGAUGGCCUGGUGCCAGGUAACCAUGGAGCUCCCCUCUCUGCCUGUCUACCAGCACAGAGUUCAAAAUUAAACUGAAUGAAUGAGAGAGAGAGAGACAGAGAGAGAGAGAGAGAGGAGGGAGGGGAAAUACGGGUCUGAAAUGGAAGGAGUGGAGGGUGAUAGAAGGGAAGAAAUGGCUGGAGAGGAGGGUGGUUGAUGAGGCUCUGUGGGCUAUUUUCAAGCACUGCUGAAAAAUUUAACCUCAGCUUCAUUUCAAAGAAGGAAGAGGUAGAGGUAAACUCAAUUCCACCUGAGAUUUAGGUUCACAGGAAUUUUUCAAAAUACCACCGUACCUGGUGAUGCCUGUAUUUCAGUGAAGAAUAAGUGCUCUUCACAAAGAAAAGAAAACGUGACCUUCCUAAGUACUCUUCCUCAAUAUCCACACUGAGCUGCUCCUUUUAAAAGUCUGACGGCAUUAGUGGCUUUAAUGUGCCUGCAAAUCUCAUCCCUUCAUCCCCUUCUCGACCCACACUCUUCCUCCUGUCAUGGAAGAUGUGUUAAUAUUGAGCAUUUGGCUGCAUUCUUAAAGUGAUUAGUUCGAGCCAAUGAAUCCUGUAGAUGAAAAGAAAUUAAGUAAUUAAUACAGUAAUUAGAUCUUUUUCUUCCUCCUACAGCUUUACCCCUGCUAAGUCAUUGUGCUGGCUCCUUUCUUAACUCCCUGUGCAUAAAGCAUGUUAGGAAGCCGUGUGCCACCCAUGAUGGAUGGUUUUACUUGGUAAUUUGUCUCUGUCUGGUGAAUACAAUUUCCUGCUAUGUUGUCAAACACUGAAGGACAGUCAGAGGAUUAUUGAAACUGUAAAAAUUUUAAAUUGGUAUGUUUAUAUUAAGAUUAAAAUUAGAUUUAGCCUACAAUAGCUGGAUGAAGGUGCAGUUUUUGGAGUGUGUCAAGAGGAAACUGAGUUUAUGUCCAAAAGCACAGAAUCAUUCACUACCUCCCUGCUCAGUGAAAUGAAUGCAGUGGACUAUAUAGUGGGCUCAAUAGUGAGCAUAAUAGAAAACAGUUCAGACGUUCUCCUUGCUAGGGAUGCACAAUAUUGGCAAAAACUAAUAAUACUCUAUACGUUUCCUUUUUGGGAAAUAUAAUGCAAAAUGAAAAAUAUUGGUGUUCAUAAAUUGGGUUUUAUAUACCUAUCAACAAUUGAAAUUUCAGUAAUUCUAUUUCCAUCAUUUUAAUCUUGAAAUGUUCUUUUCUGCUUCUAAAUCAAAUCCCCAUCCUACUUUUACCACACUGUGUCCAACUCCCUGACAGCAGCUCCUACACUCACAGGAGAAGCUGAGGGACGAGAUGAGGAGAGAGUGCAGGUGGAGAGACACGUCGCUUCAUAAACUUUACAUAUAAACACAAUUAACUAACCUCACACCAGUCUCAGACAAGGCUAGAAAAUAUGUUUAAUCUCCCCCACUAACCCUGUGAGAGUAACUUCUAACUAAACAAAAAUCCAUUGACUUCUUGUACUAUUCUUGUGGCAAUGAAAUGGUUGACACAAUGAGCCCACCACCAUGCAGAUACAAUAUGUGUCUGGGGUAUUAAAGUUCUCUCUUAGAAUUCAGACAGCACUAUAAAACGGCAUAUUCGCUAAAUUGUGAAUUAUAUGGAGAUGUGGGGGUGAUUUUGGUCCCAGCACGACUUGGAUAUUCGUCUUAAUGGGUUAAGUAGGACUAAAAGUUUGAGCUUGGUGAUACUUGUCUUUUUUUUGUUCUUCGUGUCUCACAAAGAUAAGAUUUUUAAAAAGUUGAUUGAUGUCUUACACAUUUAAAUUUCGGAAGAUGCAGUAUGCCUGCUUUCUUGCACAGAGAGGAAAAAGUUACAAAGUGUGGCGGUUUCAACCCUCAGCACAUCUAAUCAACACAGUCUCUGGACAUACUAUUAGCCACAACAACAAUAAUCUAGUCCCCACCAAACAGGCUUGAGAAACGAAGCAAAUGCGGAAGUGCUCAAAACUGCAGUUACCCAAGUACCCGCUUGACGCUGGUUGCAGAAGCAUUAAAAACCAGAAACAUAUUAAUUUAGGGGGGAAAAAGGCUAUUUCUAGAGCAAAAGACCAUGUUUACAGCCUGGUUCAAAAAAUGUUCUUGGUCUAAGUACUUCUGAUUUCUCACAGCACAAACUGGAGUGAAUUUUCUUCUAAACCAAUUUGCUUUGAAGGUACUAAGAUUACGAGUUUCGCCAGAGAUGUGAGUGGCUUGACUAUUGGUAGAUCCACUAAAAGUUAAGCUGAGUCAGCGUUUACAAUAUGGCAGCAGCUACCAAUAAUCUUUGAAACUCUAUUUAUUAUACAUUCGAUGGUCAACACAGAUUUUGUUUAAUCAGUUACAGAUAUAAACUUAUAAACUAAAAUGGUUCAUAAACUCACAUUUCCAUCAAUAUUGUUGUUUGUCACAUUCUUAGAUUAUCAGUGGCCACAAUAUAUAAGAUUAGAUAAAAUAAGAUUAGAUAAGAAGAGCUUUAUUGAUCCCCAAAGGGAAAUUCAAUAUAUGUCUGUUUCACAGCACUUUUAAAAAAAAUGCUUAUUGCUCACAUGUGCUUUACUUGACUCAUAUUUUAUUUGGUUUUUGAUUAUGUUGAGUCAUAAAAUAGUUUUUUUAUGUCGAGUAAAUAUUUCAGUUGGUUCUUUUUAAGCUUUUUUAAAUUUACUCUCUUAGUCAUAGACACACUUUGAAUAUAGCUGGGCAUGUUUGUUAUUUAUGACCACAUCCCAUUAUACCAACAUCAAACAAUUUUUAUUAAGGGUCCUUUCAGUCUCCUAAACGUCCACCUGUGGAUGUUUGAGAGAAGCGCUGCAUUGAAAACCUUUCAAUAUCAACAUCACUGAUGAUUAAUGAACCUGUUAGAGUAAUCAAAGCAUAGGAAAAAAUACACACAAUGUUAUAGUUAUAUCAAAUAAUGACAAAAAUAGAAUUAAAUACUGGAAACAUGAGGUGUAUUUUAAUUUAAUGAAUCUAAAGGACUUCAAAUUGUGUCAUUGCACAGAAAGAAUAAUGAAAACACUUUUGAUACGCCUGUAGUAAAACAUAGUGCGGUUGUUUUGUAGAUUAUAAAAGAUGGGUUUGAUAAUUUGACAGUCUGGAUUCGUGGUUACACAAGGGUCAAAGGAAGUAUCUGUCUGAUCAAACAUAGAUUGAAAAAGUCAGAAGCUGCAGAUUCCCUGUGUCUCUGAAUUGGGGCCAGCAUCUUCACUGUCUUUAGAAACCAGCUCAAACAGGGCAGAGCCAGCCACAUAUCUCAGGCUGGCCAGAGCCGGCUGAAGCAGGCCAUCCGUUUGCUUUGUGCUGUUUUUCCUGCAGUAGUGCGAGUAAAUGUUAGGCAUGGCUGAACAUACAGGUUUUAUACUGAGUAAGGACUGGAGUGCUGCUUAUCCUGAUAUGACCUCUGCUCUCAAUGGGAUGCUGUCUUCCAAUCAGCGGUAUUUAAAGUGGGAGGGAGACGUGAUAUACUCAUCUGUCUGUACAGUAAAAAGCAUGUUCAGCAGUGGGCCUCAUGGCCUCUGAAAAAUGUCCGGGCACUCUCCACUGAAACGGCCCAGACUUUGAGAGUUUUGAGUGCACAUUGAGAGAGAGAGACGAGACAGUGGGCCAAGAUGUCUGUGGUGUGGAUUAAUGGGGAGGACUGGAGAAAGGGUGCCGCAGUUGUGCGUGAGCAGAAUAUUUGAUGGGGGAAGCAUGAGGAGGGAAAAGUGAGGGACAAGCAACUGCAUGAGAUGGGCAAGAUGAAAGGGGGGAACAGAUAAAAUUGGACUGAAACAUCGAGAUGUAUGAACAUGAAUCAAAAUCUACAGUAUUAAAUACUUCUGCUGUCUGGCGUCUCCCACUGGUGCUUUAUCUUGUCUGAUAGCACUUCACAGUGUGCGCUUUACACUGUGGUCUGUUGCACUGAGCUCAGCACAGGGAUAAAAUCUACAUAAAGGCCUUCACAGAGAGUUGAAAUAAAGCCUGAGUGGGACAUAGAUACCUCUGAAUGAAACACAUACAGAGACCAAUUUGAGUCAAAGAAUGAACAAAGCAAGUCACGUCUUUUGGAGUGCUCGCCCAAAAUAAUUUUGUUUCUGUGAGGCUCUGCUGUGUGCAUAACUGUAACCUCUAUGAAAUAACUGAAGUACUUCUUUUGUCUUUGCUUUUCCCACGAAGUUUCUGGCUCACAGAUGGAUACAGCUCGUGUCCUUAUGUCUGCUUUUGGUUGCUGUGACCAUUCUGGUAAACAACAUUUCUUUGUAGACAAAUGCUGACUUCACAUUCACUGUAGUUUUUUUGAUCCUGGUAUAUUCAUUAAGAUAUUAUUUUAAGUUGUGUGUGAAGCAGAUCAAAGCAUGGAGAUACUGUUAAAACCAAUUAAAUGUUUCAUUCACAUUUUUACUGACUUUACCUUCACUGAUUCUUUUUAAAACAAAAACCAAAUAAAUGUCAGAGAUAUAACUAACUUUUGCAAGCUUUUGAGCGUGGACUGUGGGUGUCUAGGGAAGGAUUUGACAGCUGUAACCAAACUAUUAAUAUCAGCCAUUAUUACUGCCCGCCCCCUGGGGUGUUGGAUUAAGCUUUAGUGACUCUAAAAAGAUUCUGACUUUCCCUGAAAAGUGUGCAGACAAGAACAAAAUCCAAAAAGACGAGCAGUAGUGGACAUGCUGGGAAACAAAAGAUACUCACAAGUACCAUGGUUAUAAAUGACUCUGACAUAUACAUGAGACAUAAAGCUGCUCCGACUGAAAUAUUAUUACAACCUUAGAGGAGAAAUAUAAACAUUAACAAGAAGGUAGUAAAUUACUGAUGUGGCUCAAGUCUCCCUGUGAUAUUCUGUGCAUAAAGUAAACCCUAUAUUCUUACUUGUAUAGAUUAUUGUAGACAUAUACAUAAUUUAACAUGUUUUAGUUGAAUGAAAAGAUUCAGUUUCAUAAAUUUUUGUCAGUCUUAAUGUGAAACUCACUGUUAAAAUGUUGCUGUGCCUCAUAAUCUGAAGUAAGAUUUAAUUCUGGAUUAUAUGUAACCUAAUGAUACACAAACGUGAGGAUGCUUUGAAAAACCAGAUAACUUCAAUAGAGACAACUAUGGCUAAAAUGUUGUGUUAGAAUUUUUUGAUGGCUACAUAGGCACUCCUUUUUUACAGUUUAAAUCAUUUAAUAUAAUGUGAUGUACAUCUAUGCUGAAGCUGUAUAAUUUACCAGUGCCAUAAAACAACACAUGACUCAGAUAGGAGAGUCACCGGGGAGAUUUGUCAUGAAGUCGUCUUUUACUGAAUGUGGCUGUAAAAUGCAAAAUUAAGUCAAAAGUUUGAAAGCCCAACAACAACAAAAGUGUUUCUCUAUUAAAUCGUUCACCUCACCACUUGCUUGACCGAUUGACUUGCUAAGUUACGAGAUUGUACCCCGGCGUCACUGCAGUUUCUUUUACAUUACUGUACAAAUAACGUGGUAUGGUUGUUCCCCUGUUGGUGGCCCACUUUUUAGUGCUCGCUUUCCCAGGCUCUGAGAGUGCCUUUCAGGGGUUACCUUGUGAGAAGUUUGGGGUUAUGCCCAUGUCAGUUGCUCUGUUUUCUUCAACCUUGUGUUUUGGAGAGGCUCUUUUCUGCGACAGGUUUCUUGGCAAUAUCCUGAAAGUCAAAUCUGGUCAUUUAGAUUCAAGUGGUGACCAUGGAACAGACAGCAGCCCAUUGGCAUGCUGUUGCAAAACUAGUAGUCAGGACUCUUGAAAUCUAAAACAGCAUACAUAGACUAGUCUUUUGGAGCAAUGGGGAGACACUUAAGCUAAAAGACACUCAAGUAGGGGAGAUUUUUCUAAGUAUGGUGCUUUAAUUUAGUGCAGGUACACAACAGAGUCAAACAGCGACUUUUAGGUACAAAAUGAUGCUUCCAGUCUUAGCGAAGACGAGGGCUGGAUGAAAUUAUUGUGCAGUGUUUUACAUAGAGAAAGAGGACACCCAUAUAUUUAUAUUGCACUGUAUGAAAGCGGGAUAGAUUUUGAUCAAUUUAUUAGAUUAGUCUUUAGAUCAAUAAUUUGGAGUGUGGAAAAACAAAAUACGUUUGUAAGGUAGCAUGAAUUUAGCAAGCAGCGUUUGAGCGAACGGACCACGUUUUCCUCAGCAAUGUAGCAUUUUUACUCUUCUUCUUGCUCUUCAUGCUCUAAGCCUCAUCAUUUCUUUCUUUUAAGUCUUUGUCAUAUUCUGUAUCUGAGGAAAGUUUUAGGAACAAGGCUCAUAAGCAAUGAACAGAGGCCCGAGAACAGAGCCAUGAGAUACUCCUCUAGAAAUGCCCAAAAUUGGUAUGUAGCACUUUCACUGUGCUGUUCACUCUUAUACUGUGUUGUUAUAGGUGCUAUUCAGGAUGAUAUUCAUGAUCAUCUAAUGUUAUAAGUCUGGGUAGAAAAUAUACAUGGUACAUUAGCGUGAUGAAAUUAAGAGCACACAGUUAAAUUGAAGAAAUUAAAAAAUAUAUAUCUUCAAAUCCAGUGCUUAAAAAAAGAGAUGAAAUACUGAUAAGCUAUCAUUGUCAUAGAAACUAAAAGCGACUUGUCCUGUCAGGUGUUCAGGGUACAUUCAAACAGAGUGUAAUAAAACAUGGGGACAGCACAUUACCAUAGACAGCAGGUCGGAGCGUUAGGAUGUGGGCACACAGUAAGCCGUAUCAUCCUCACUCGUUUGGAGUCGAAGCCUUCCCCUGCAUGGUGGCCCAAAUAGAGUUUCUCAUGGACUCACAGCACAGCUGUAUGCCAAUCCUCUGUUCUGAAAGACGGCUAAUGGGACAAAGGGCACGAGUGAGGCAAAGGGAAACGAGGGAGAGAUGCUUGCUGAGUCGCCCAGCCCUCCCCUGAGCAGGACGGGGAGCACCACUCUUCCUCACUGCUCAGAGCUGCUUUCCCCCGGCCCUCAGCCAUUUUGGAGAGAGGAAAAAGUGGCUGCUUUCUCUCUCCCUCUCUCACUACGUGGCAUAGCUUUGGAAAGGUUUCGGCUGCUGUUUUGUAGGAGCAGAGAAGAGACAUUUUGCAGCUCGCGUUUGGGGGAUAAUGUGUUUGCAGGGAAAAAAUCUGACGCGAAAAACAACGUUCUUCCAUCUUGACUUUUUUUUUUUAAUGAAUUUUCGUUUCCCUUGCAUUCAGCUGCUAAGCCUCUCUCCUCUUUGCUGUGCACUUUCAGUCAUGCUGUGCUCUUUCUUUCAUAACUUGUGCUCUAGUUUAGUUGUCGGGUGCUUUCCCUUGUCUAUUUUAAAUUAUACCUUUUGUCAUUUCUCAAUUUGACUGUGUUUAAGACUAAAGGAUAGGUCCAAAUUUUGGCAGAAGUACGAAGAGACAGAGCUGUAGCCAGAGAUCCUGCUGGGAUCCAAAAAAGCCAAACAGAAUGAAGCACCAAAAAAAAAAAAAAAAAGAAAACACCACCCUUUCCUUUGCCUGAUCACAAAUUCCACUUUUUCUGUGGCCAGCCCUGCGCUGCGACUCCUCCUCAUCCACAUCUUACCGCAUUCAACCUUUUGCCGUUUCUCUCUUGCCGUACCUUUUUUUAAAGGCGAUUUGAGGUUUUUGUGUCCCGGAAAAACAGUAAAUGGACAACGGGUCAGGAGGGCUAACAGGGGGAGAACAAGGGGAUGUUAUUUUCCUACUUUUGCUUGUUAUUCAAUUUUUUUCUUCUGUUGCACUGUAACUGUUUUCGGGUCGUUGUUGUAGUGCUAGUAGUGUUUAGUUUUGUGUGCUGUGAGGAGGUGCUUGGAUCACCACGUGUUUCUCGUUGUGUGGUUUAAGGAAUAUGUGUGCAGGGGUAUCUAAUCUGUCAGUUUAAGACAUUCUGUUCUGCUCCCAGUAAUGAUUUGUAAAUCUGCUUUUUCUAGGUGUCUUGAUUACGCUGAAGGAUUGGCCUACACUGCUCCUCAUGCUUGACUCCAGCUGAUUCCAGAGGAUGUCUUGACCAUCACUUCCAGCGUGUGCCUCACUGGUACGUUAGCGAUUAUUUCACUUACAGUUUUCUUGUUUCUUUUUCUUUCUUUUUGUAUCCUAAACCCCACCCAGUGAUGCAUACCUGGUGUGUUGUUCACGUUUUUUUUUUUGUUUAAAGGUAGUAAGGUCAAGAGAGACAGCGUUACUUACUGAGGAAAUGCAGAAUUUCUUACAUAGUUGCAAGGACAUAUUCACAAAUUUGCUACUUCUCUUUAAAAAUGAUACUCCUGUCAUACUGUGUAUUCUGUAGAGGUUUGAUUUCAUAUGUUUUAUCACUCUCACCUGAUCUUACUUGACAAUAUUCACCUGCAGACGUUGGAUUUUUGUGUGUGGAUUUUUUUGUCUGUGGACAGCGUAUUUGUUCAGAAUCUUUCUGCUGAGAGACAAUUGCUCUCCUCGUGGUUUUGGGACAUUUUGUUCACAUCGUGGUCAUUUCCAAAAAAUGCCAGAAAUUCUGUUUUUAACUCAAAUUCAUUUUCAGGAUUCGAAUUAUUGAUCAGAAGACUGCAAUCUACAUGUUUGUGUCUUGAAAUGAAAAGAUUCAUUUUGUUAUUCUGUCUGACAUUUGUAAAGUAAGUGUUGACCUCAGAAGAAUGUGAUCAGUAGGUUACACAAACACCACGUCUGUCUCACAGUCAUGUGCUUUCGGCCUGUGCGUUGGGCCAUGGUUAAAUUCGAAGGCUUUUCUUUAUGAGGUACACAAACAGCAGAUAUACUAAAUAGCUGCAUUUAAAAAGUUAUUAGUAAAUAAUAACACAGCGAAUAUUUAAAAAUAACAGUAUUUAAUUUGAUUCUCGGGCAAAGCGAUUGAUUCAGACACUACUUUAAAACUAAGAAUCACUCGACUCUUUCUCAGGUCAUUUAAUACACUUAAGAAGAUUUUCAAUUCAACGCUGAGAAUUAUUUUAACUUCAGUUUUGUGUUUUUCGCUCUGACGCGUUUGCGUUAACGCCCAUGGUUUGCAUGUUGAAUAAGUCGUGUCUACAGGUCCAGAUUGUAGUUUGUCUUCCUGCUCCCAUGUUUUGUGAGAUAUGUCCUUCUUAUUUGCUCUUGAAGGGGUUAUGCCAGCUGCCACAAACCCGUAGAUCCGAACUUGUGGUGACUGGCUGCACAAGCUCGUAUCUAUAGGUAUGUGUCUUCCUGGCAAACACAGCACCUGCCCUACAGCAUGCCUGUAAAUACACAAGAAUAAUAAUAAUAAUAAUAAUAAAAAGUAACUCAAUGUAUUUAUCUUCAAAACAAACACCUUUGUAACAUCGAGGGUUAUUCUUAGACUUCUCACAUGUUCUCUUUAGUGUUUUUAAAAUCAAGCUUUGAUGGUACUCUGAUGACUGACAACACCCAUGUCUGUCAGAACAGGAUAUUCUCCUCUAAACUUCUCCCUUGUGUCCCAUCUGUAUGCAGUAACCCCACCCAAGUGGGAGGGCUGGACUCUAUGACGAUGUGACACGACAUAAAAAUCUUCCUCGUAUCCUUGGGCAGUGCAGCAAAUCAAUGAACAGAACUAUUUCAUAGUAAUACUGACUUUGCAGGACACAUGAAUAAAGGGUAA
rnacentral:lncRNA from 1 species